rnacentral:rRNA from 1 species
GAUGAACGCUGGCGGCGUGCCUAAUACAUGCAAGUCGAGCGAACGGACGAGAAGCUUGCUUCUCUGAUGUUAGCGGCGGACGGGUGAGUAACACGUGGAUAACCUACCUAUAAGACUGGGAUAACUUCGGGAAACCGGAGCUAAUACCGGAUAAUAUUUUGAACCGCAUGGUUCAACAGUGAAAGACGGUCUUGCUGUCACUUAUAGAUGGAUCCGCGCUGCAUUAGCUAGUUGGUAAGGUAACGGCUUACCAAGGCAACGAUGCAUAGCCGACCUGAGAGGGUGAUCGGCCACACUGGAACUGAGACACGGUCCAGACGCCUAAGGGAGGCAGCAGUAGGGAAUCUUACGCAAUGGGCGAAAGCCUGACGGAGCAACGCCGCGUGAGUGAUGAAGGUCUUCGGAUAGUAAAACUCUGUUAUUAGGGAAGAACAUAUGUGUAAGUAACAGUGCACAUCGUGACGGUACCUAAUCAGAAAGCCACGGCUAACUACGUG